rnacentral:lncRNA from 9 species
GGGUUGUCUUGAAAGUCUCUUGAUGAAAGCAGGAAAAUGAGUCGAGAGGUUUACUAAUAAAUGGAGAAUACAGAUUUGGAAAAGGCUCAUGCCUGUUACUCGAUUUCCGUGUCCAACAAGCUCAACUGGGAGUUAAACGCAAGUCUUGAACUCCUAAAUUCUAUCACAAAUCUAUGGAUAAAAAUUCAUUCUCUGUGUCCGUGGGCUGAUUCAACUCCAGAUCAACCAGUGAAAACUGACCUCUUAGAGAUGAUUCAAGAACAGCUGAAUGAGUCUGUAGCACAGCAGCCUUACAAACAGGGAGGCCUGAUUUUUGAGUUUGGCCUGGGGAUAGAAAGUCAAAAGCUGGCAGAAGACAGAUGCUUUGCAGAAGUGACAAAUUUCGUUUCCUGGAGAAAGUUGCUGACUGCAAUGUUCCAAUUGGAGCAGCUUAUCUGCCCCUCCAGAUGUUGAAAUAAUGACAGAUGCUCAGAGAAAGCUUGACAAGAGGAAGAAAA